CCUUGAAAUACCACCCUUUAAUGUUUGAUGUUCUAACGUUGACCCGUAAUCCGGGUUGCGGACAGUGUCUGGUGGGUAGUUUGACUGGGGCGGUCUCCUCCUAAAGAGUAACGGAGGAGCACGAAGGUUGGCUAAUCCUGGUCGGACAUCAGGAGGUUAGUGCAAUGGCAUAAGCCAGCUUGACUGCGAGCGUGACGGCGCGAGCAGGUGCGAAAGCAGGUCAUAGUGAUCCGGUGGUUCUGAAUGGAAGGGCCAUCGCUCAACGGAUAAAAGGUACUCCGGGGAUAACAGGCUGAUACCGCCCAAGAGUUCAUAUCGACGGCGGUGUUUGGCACCUCGAUGUCGGCUCAUCACAUCCUGGGGCUGAAGUAGGUCCCAAGGGUAUGGCUGUUCGCCAUUUAAAGUGGUACGCGAGCUGGGUUUAGAACGUCGUGAGACAGUUCGGUCCCUAUCUGCCGUGGGCGCUGGAGAACUGAGGGGGGCUGCUCCUAGUACGAGAGGACCGGAGUGGACGCAUCACUGGUGUUCGGGUUGUCAUGCCAAUGGCACUGCCCGGUAGCUAAAUGCGGAAGAGAUAAGUGCUGAAAGCAUCUAAGCACGAAACUUGCCCCGAGAUGAGUUCUCCCUGACUCCUUGAGAGUCCUGAAGGAACGUUGAAGACGACGACGUUGAUAGGCCGGGUGUGUAAGCGCAGCGAUGCGUUGAGCUAACCGGUACUAAUGAACCGUGAGGCUUAACCUUACAACGCCGAAGGUGUUU
rnacentral:rRNA from 1 species